UACGUAGGGGGCUAGCGUUGUCCGGAAUCAUUGGGCGUAAAGCGCGUGUAGGCGGUCCGGUAAGUCCGCUGUGAAAGUCGGGGGCUCAACCCUCGAAUGCCGGUGGAUACUGUCGGGCUAGAGUGCGGAAGAGGCGAGUGGAAUUCCUGGUGUAGCGGUGAAAUGCGCAGAUAUCAGGAGGAACACCGAUGGCGAAGGCAGCUCGCUGGGACGGUACUGACGCUGAGGCGCGAAAGCGUGGGGAGCAAACAGG
rnacentral:rRNA from 1 species